UACGUAGGUGGCAAGCGUUGUUCGGAAUUACUGGGCGUAAAGCGCGCGUAGGCGGCUCUUCAAGUCAGGCGUGAAAGCCCCGACUUAACUCGGGAACUGCGACUUGUACUGUCGAGCUAGAGUGUGGAAGGGGCGAUUGGAAUUCCGUGUGUAGCGGUGAAAUGCGCAGAUAUCAGAGGAACACCGGUGCGAAGGCGGGUCUCUGGGCCGUAACUGACGCUGAGGAGCGAAAGCAUGGGGAGCGAACAGG
rnacentral:rRNA from 1 species